rnacentral:rRNA from 1 species
UAUACCGUGAAACUGCGAAUGGCUCAUUAAAUCAGUUAUCGUUUAUUUGAUAGUACCUUACUACUUGGAUAACCGUGGUAAUUCUAGAGCUAAUACAUGCUAAAAACCCCAACUUCGGGAGGGGUGUAUUUAUUAGAUAAAAAACCAAUGCCCUUCGGGGCUCUUUGGUGAUUCAUGAUAACUAAACGGAUCGCAUGGCCUUGCGCCGGCGACGGUUCAUUCAAAUUUCUGCCCUAUCAACUUUCGAUGGUAAGGUAUUGGCUUACCAUGGUUUCAACGGGUAACGGGGAAUUAGGGUUCGAUUCCGGAGAGGGAGCCUGAGAAACGGCUACCACAUCCAAGGAAGGCAGCAGGCGCGCAAAUUACCCAAUCCCGACUCGGGGAGGUAGUGACAAUAAAUACUGAUACAGGGCUCUUUUGGGUCUUGUAAUCGGAAUGAGUACAAUUUAAACCCCUUAACGAGGAACAAUUGGAGGGCAAGUCUGGUGCCAGCAGCCGCGGUAAUUCCAGCUCCAAUAGCGUAUAUUAAAGUUGUUGCAGUUAAAAAGCUCGUAGUUGAACCUUGGGCCUGGCUGGCCGGUCCGCCUCACCGCGUGUACUGGUCCGGCCGGGCCUUUCCUUCUGGAGAGCCGCAUGCCCUUCACUGGGUGUGUCGGGGAACCAGGACUUUUACUUUGAAAAAAUUAGAGUGUUCAAAGCAGGCCUUUGCUCGAAUACGUUAGCAUGGAAUAAUAGAAUAGGACGUGCGGUCCUAUUUUGUUGGUUUCUAGGACCGCCGUAAUGAUUAAUAGGGAUAGUCGGGGGCAUCAGUAUUCAAUUGUCAGAGGUGAAAUUCUUGGAUUUAUUGAAGACUAACUACUGCGAAAGCAUUUGCCAAGGAUGUUUUCAUUAAUCAGUGAACGAAAGUUAGGGGAUCGAAGACGAUCAGAUACCGUCGUAGUCUUAACCGUAAACUAUGCCGACUAGGGAUCGGGCGAUGUUUCUAUCUUGACUCGCUCGGCACCUUACGAGAAAUCAUAAG